rnacentral:lncRNA from 1 species
CGGCUGGGGAAAUCCCAGGGCCGGGGCCGGACUCGGUGCGGGGAGAGGGGACCACGCUUAUAGGAACCUCCUGCAGCCCCACCGGCUGAAUCCAUCGGUAGCGGAGACCCACCUAGAGGCCUCAACCUGGCUUUUGUUUGGUUGUUUUUAACUUCUGUCAUUCUCCCUUCGUCUCUUAGGAAUGCGUCCUUGACCGGAGAGGUCGGAAAGCUGGCCGGUUCUAGGUGACAUUCCUGCAUCCGGUCAUUUUUGCAGACAGCGGGAGUCAGAGCUUAUUGGCCUGAGUGUCCCGCUGACGCCCCUCCUCUGGCGUCUCUGGGCCUCUUCCGCUCUGUUACGGGGUCAGGGGAAGCCGAAACGGGCAGUCACCCAGAAGGCGCCCGCUGAAACCCGCCCAUUCUUCCCAGGCCCCGAGAAAACGCCGCCCCCUCCGGGAAGUCCUCGAGCCUGCAGGAGACAUCUAGCCCGCUGUCCAGGGCACCUUUUUUUUUCUCCCUAUAUUUCGGUUGCUCGCGUCUCUUGGUGUGGUUUGCCCACGUCUGCAGCGCCAGACAGCAUUCCUUCUGCGUGGAACAUGCCAACCCUCGUCUGCUUUGACUUUGCAAAACUGCAUGAGACCGCCGGGCGCGGUGGCUCACGCCUGUAAUCCCAGCACUUCAAGAGGCCGAGGCAGACAGAUCACCUGAGGUCAGGAGUUUGAGGCCAGCCUGGCCAGCAUGGUGAAACCCCGUCUCUACUAAAAAUACAAAAAAUCAGCCAGUAAUCCUAGCUACUCGGGAGGCUGAGGCAGGAGAAUCGCUUGAACCCAGGAAGCAGAGGUUGCAGUGAGCCGAGGUCAUGCCAUUGCACUCCAGCCUGGGCUACAAGAGUGAAACUCCGUCUCAAAAAAGAAAAAAAAAAAGAAAAAAAGACUGCAUAUGACUCCCCAGUGAAGCCCUCCCUGAUUGGCCUCUGCAGAAGGCAGCAUGCCCGGGCUUUGGAGUCAGACCUGCAUACAAAUCCUUGUUUUGCCGGUGUGACCUUGCCAAGUCUUCUUUCCUGCAGGACAGAAGGCGGCAGCAGCUCUCCCUGAACUGGCACUCUGGCUUCUCUUGCCCCAGGGUCUGUUUCUGCUCCUUGGACAGCAGGCGCAUGUGGGAACUGUGCCCUCUUCAGCCAUGAGCCCCUGUUCUGCGCACAUCUAGCCCAUCUUCCAGAUGGACAGACAGUCUGUGGUCGUCGCCAAACCCCUGAAUCUGGCCCUGCCCGCAGUCAGAGGGAUGGCAAUUUGUAAGCUACAGACUAUUGCGAAUCAUUCACUUGGAGACUGAACUAAGACUACUGGCACCAGGCUCCGUAGACCCUCGGGAAGAGCAUGGUCUGGCAGGCAGACUGGAUGUGGCCACAGAUAACAUCCCCUAAGGGGAGAGCGUGAGCCUGCAGGCCAGAAUGCCACCACUUUCUCCUGUGUCGUUCCAGAGAGAGCCUGUGGCUAUGCACGCUUGCUGCUACAGAGGGUAGUGCUGUAUACCUCCUGGGCUCACUUACUGACUUUUCAGUCUAAGGGCUUAUUGCAAUUGGUACAUAACGAUCAUACUUUGUAAUGGUUAAGUAAUAUUCCAUCAUAUGGAUGUGUUGUUUAUUUAACAUUCUGGUUGAAUAACCAAGACUUUUAGGUUUCCAGUUUUCCAGGAACAUCAUGCCCCUCCAUCAUUUGCCCACCUGGAAGGAUAACUACAGGAUAAGCAGCUCUUAGAACUGGAAUUGCUGAGUUAACUGCUCUGUGCAUUUCCUUGCUUUUUCUUGCUUUUCUUUUCUUUCUUUUAUUAUUUUUUUGGGUAAAUUUUUAUUGAACUAUAGCAUAGCGUAGAUACAGGAAAGUGUAAAAACUUAAAUGUACAAUUCAAUGAAUUUUCGCUAGGCAAACACUGUGUCACCAGCACCCAGAUUUAGAAACAGAAUAUUACCAGAAUCCCAAAAGCCCCAUGAGCUGCCGUCCAGUCACUACUUACCGUUUCCCUGAUCCCCUGCAUAGGAUAAUCCUUAUCAUGGCUUCUGACACUUUCGGUUGGUUUUGGAUGUACUGACACUUUUUGUGUGUGUGUGACACUUUUAUAAUACAAAGAAAAUCAUACAGUAUGUUCA